rnacentral:rRNA from 1 species
UGGGGAAUAUUGGACAAUGGGGGCAACCCUGAUCCAGCAAUGCCGCGUGUGUGAAGAAGGUCUUCGGAUUGUAAAGCACUUUUGGCAGGGACGAUGAUGACGGUACCUGCAGAAUAAGCCCCGGCUAACUUCGUGCCAGCAGCCGCGGUAAUACGAAGGGGGCUAGCGUUGCUCGGAAUGACUGGGCGUAAAGGGCGCGUAGGCGGUUUAUACAGUCAGAUGUGAAAUUCCUGGGCUCAACCUGGGGACUGCAUUUGAGACGUAUGGACUUGAGUGGAGAAGAGGGUCGUGGAAUUUCCAGUGUAGAGGUGAAAUUCGUAGAUAUUGGAAAGAACACCGGUGGCGAAGGCGGCGACCUGGUCUUUAACUGACGCUGAGGCGCGAAAGCGUGGGGAGCAAACAGG